GGGGGGGUAGCUCAGCGGGUAGAGCUUAGGGCUUGUGACCAUAAGAUCCCAGGUUCGGUUGGAUCUUGCC
rnacentral:tRNA from 1 species